rnacentral:rRNA from 1 species
AAUCAACGCUGGCGGCGUGCCUCAGACAUGCAAGUCGAACGCGAAAGUUUCCUUCGGGAGAUGAGUAGAGUGGCGCACGGGUGAGUAACACGUGAGUAAUUUACCUUCGGGUGGGGAAUACUAACCGGAAACGGUUGUUAAUACCGCAUAAUGCAGCGGCAUCAAUGAUGACAGUUGUUAAAGCGGGGAGUUGGAGCAAUCCGACCUCGCGCCUGAAGAGAAGCUCGCGGCAGAUUAGCUAGUUGGUAAGGUAAUGGCUUACCAAGGCGACGAUCUGUAACCGGCCUGAGAGGGCGGUCGGUCACACUGACACUGAAUAACGGGUCAGACUCCUACGGGAGGCAGCAGUCGGGAAUUUUGGGCAAUGGGCGCAAAGCCUCGACCCAGCAACGCCGCGUGAAGGAUGAAGCAUUUCGGUGUGUAAACUUCACAAGAAUGGGAAGAAUAAGUUUGGGAUAACACCCGAACGAUGACGGUACUAUUUGUAAGCUCCGGCUAACUUCGUGCCAGCC